UUUUUUUUUUUAGGUUUAUUUUUAUUUUUACCUACAUAGCUGUGCAAUGUAAUGUAAUUAAUAAUAUUAGUUUUAAGUAUAAGUACUUAUAGUAUAAGAAUAAAUUGCUGUGCCCUUACAGGGUCUGUAUUCAAUGUAAUAUAUGAGCAAUAAAGAUGUUAUGAGUUAUGAGUUAUGAGCUAAAUAAUAUAAUCGGAAAACCACCGAAUUUUAUCGCUACUAUAAAAAUGUUGAAAAUAGAACUUCACAUAUUUCGAUAAAAUAUUUCUUGUUUAAGGAGACUCAAUUCAAUGCAAAUUUGCCAACGGUGGCGUUUCGAAAUGUAAUACCGUCGCGGCGUCUGUCAUACUUCGGUCUACUUAAACACGCUGCACGCUGCUGCGACGCGUCAGGGCCUACCGCGAACCACGUUCGACGUGUUGCCUCUCUGUCGCACUUAUAAAUUCGUACGUAAGUAUGACAGGGAGGCAACACGUCGAACGUGGUUCACGGUAGGCCCUCUGUUCUGUGAUUGUUAGGCAAACACAAACAUUUUUUUUUACAACGGACGCCCACGAGUAUUCCUCUGCGUUGAAGUCAUUGUUGAAGUUUGAAAACUCAUAAAGUUUUGUUUUGUGAGUGAAACCGUGAAUAAUACUAAAUAAAAAUGUGUGACAGUGAUCACAGUGAUGAAAAUAUGUUGCCCACUACUCCUCAGGAAAUAUUAAAGCCUUUUCCGUUUAUGUUGUUCCGUUGUUUGCUAUUUUGACAACUUGAAAAGUUUUAUCGGCAGUUUGCGUGUUAUUACUGUGAAGUGUUUGGCCAAACCGCCGCUACCACUUUUGAAAGGAUGCCACCCAAAAAUCCAAAAAUGUAAGUUACACAAAACAAAAAGAAUUUAUUUGCAGAAAAAUAUAGCUAUUUGCCAGUUCCUUUGAUCGUUAACUUAUGUGACUGUUUUUUUUCAGUCGCUCGAACGCAGCACAAAUUAGAUUGCUCGUUGAAUACAUGUCACAGCACACCCGGUUCGCCAACCGGGAAUUUGACGGGCCUCUAAGGACCCCAGAGGUACGAGGCGCAAUGGGAGGCCCUUGCACAGGCCUUAAGGGAGCACGGGCCCAAUAAGUCAGUGCAGGCAUGGAAAGUGGUGGGCACCUGCUCCCCGCUGGCGACACCCUUGCAGAAGCUAGCAUUUUCAGAUAUAUUUACUUUUUAAGUUUUUGGUUUGGUUUAACCGGAAUUAUUUUUACCCGACUAUGAGAAUGGGAAGGGUUAUGAUUUUAGCAGUCUACGUAUGGAUGCCGUAUAUAUGCCGGAUAUCCUGAACGAACUGAAAAUUUUUAAUGAGGCGCAGAAACAAAAAUGGAGUGUUUUGAAGGAGGGGCACGACUUGUUGGCGAAUCGGUUCAUCCUCUGACCUUUCCAAGGAGCAAGAUCUUAUUUUCGUGUAUGAGAGCCUUUGGAAUACAAUAUUAUUAACGCCCGAAUGAGUGCUACCGCGUUUAAUUUCGCCACUAGGGGUGCUAGUGUAGACGGAGGUCUUUCGAAAUGUCAAAUGCAUAGCUUUUUUAUCGUGAAUUUCUACUCCUCAUUCAUAAUUGUGGUAAAUCUUAUUUCAUCUUUGAUUAGUUAGUCACCAAACAAAAGUAACUCAAAUAGCCGGGUCCACACAGAGCGAGCAUACGCGCCAGGCAACUUCCUCACGCACAAAACGGCCAGUGUAGACGUGCCUCGGACGAGGCGGAGCGCGCGUUUUCCUCGCCCUAGUGCGCCGCCUCGGCCGAGGCACGUCUACACUGGCUGGGAUUACCAUCGAAUCGUCUAAUGUCGGUUUUGUUCCUUUGGGUUUGUUGUACCUAGUGACAUGUUUUUUAAACGAUUGCAACGCCAUCUGCGAGUUGCUCGAGAGACUCAACUUACACACAUAUAUGGAUGUGGCUUCAAAAGUAAUCACCGUUAAUAUCUCGUACCUUGAAUAAAGGACCCACUUCUUAAUUAUUAUUAUAAAUUAUAUUUUGGUAUUGUUCCAGUAUUAACACAUUGGAGGACACCGAGAUUAUUGAGAACUUGGAAGACACAGUUAUAAUGGAAGAGGAAGACGUCUGAGCUAAGCGCUGUCCUCGCACCCUCCGUCUAGUUUACGUUUGCGGCCAUAUCAAAAAUACACACCGUAUGUUUAUUAGGGUUCCGUACCAAAAAGGUACAAAAGGAACCCUUAUGGUGCUAUUGCUAAAUAUCUCGAGAAGUACUUAAGCUAUCGAUGUGAAAUUUGGAAUAGUAAUGAAUAACGCUGACCCAAACAUAUUGGAUGUGUAUUUAUUUUAUUUUAUUUGUAAGUAUUAAUAAUGGAAAAUUCCCAAUAUGAAGAGGGGGUAAAAUUGCAAAGUCUAGUUAAAUAGGUCAAGUGGGGUAUCAUUUGAAAGAGCUCAAAUUGAAAAUUACAAAACAAUUUUUUAUUUUCAUUGUGAAAAAAAAAUUUACGUAUGAAGGAAAAUGUGAAAAUAAUACCAUCCCCCCCCCCUCUCUCAUCUCCGAAGUUUAAGAAUAAAAAUUGUUUUUUUUACAUUGGUCAAGUCUUUCAUGAGAAAAUUUGAAGUUUGUACGGAACCCUCGGUGUGCGAGGUAAACGAACUCGCACUUGACCGGUUAUUCUUAUUGCCCAUAAGGCCCGUCCUUAGAUAUAUGUCAAUGAUUACGGUGAUCUCGAAAAUGGCUCAAAUGAUUUCAAUUAAAUUUGCUAUAUGGGGGUUUUCGGGGCGUUUUUGAGUUUUUACCUAUUUGUUUUCCGAGCAAAAGGAAUUAAAGUUUACUGAUUUUGAAAA